UACGGAGGGUGCAAGCGUUAUCCGGAUUCACUGGGUUUAAAGGGUGCGUAGGUGGGUAUGUAAGUCAGUGGUGAAAUCCCCGAGCUUAACUUGGGAACUGCCGUUGAUACUAUAUAUCUUGAAUAUCGCGUAGGUAAGCGGAAUAUGUCAUGUAGCGGUGAAAUGCUUAGAUAUGACAUAGAACACCAAUUGCGAAGGCAGCUUACUUCACGAUUAUUGACACUGAGGCACGAAAGCGUGGGGAUCAAACAGG
rnacentral:rRNA from 1 species